GGCGGGGAAAGAUCGAGAUUAAGAAGAUCGAGAACUCGACGAAUCGGCAGGUCACUUACUCGAAGCGCCGGACCGGAAUCAUCAAGAAGGCGACUGAGCUCACUGUGCUCUGUGAUGCCGAGGUCUCUCUCCUUAUGUUCUCCAGCACCGGGAAGCUGUCAGAGUUCUGCAGCCCCUCCACAGACACGAAGAAGAUCUUCGACCGCUACCAGCAGCUGUCCGGGAUCAACCUCUGGAGCGCGCAAUACGAGAAAAUGCAAAACACUUUGAACCAUCUGAGCGAGAUCAACCGCAACCUUCGCAAGGAGAUCAGCCAGAGGAUGGGGGAGGAGCUGGAUGGAUUGGACAUCAAGGACCUGCGCGGUCUUGAGCAAAAUUUGGACGAGGCACUCAAGCUCGUUCGUCACCGCAAGUAUCAUGUGAUCAACACUCAGACAGAGACUUACAAGAAAAAGGUGAAAAACUCGGAAGAAGCACACAAGAACCUGCUCCGUGACCUGGUGAAUAGAGAGAUGAAAGAUGAGAAUCCAGUCUAUGGUUACGUGGACGAAGACCCCAGCAACUAUGAUGGCAGCCUUGCUCUGGCCAAUGGGGCUUCUCAUCUGUACGAGUUCCGAGUCCAACCGAGCCAGCCAAACCUGCAUGGGAUGGGUUAUGGCUCCCAUGAUCUCCGACUGGCUUGAAACCCUAAUCCUGUAGGGUGCAGUGAGCAAAUAUAUGGUAUGCAGUAGUCUUUCAAUUAAGCUGGCUUGAAACCCUAAUCCCAUGUUGUAUGUGGUGUUAAUGUAUCAGCAUUCAUGCAUGUAUGGAUCUUUAUUUAUGUAUUUUUGUUUGAGUAA
rnacentral:misc_RNA from 1 species